rnacentral:lncRNA from 1 species
AGAAAAGUAUAAAAGAGGCACAAGAGAUGUGUUCGGAUGAUCCGGCGAGUGGCGAGUGUGUGGCGGCUUGGGACGAAGUGGAAGAGCUGAGUGCGGCGGCUAGCCACGCUAGGGACAAGAAGAAAGACGAUGAUCCUUUGGAGAAUUACUGUAAAGACAACCCGGAGACCGAUGAGUGUCGUACUUAUGAUAAUUGAAAAUGUUUGUUUUUUUUCUAGUUUCUUAGAUUAUAGUUGGAUGUUAAUCUGAAAUAUGUUUUAUUGUUGGCUUAUAUAGUUUGUUAUAAUGAUGUAAUCCUAAAAUUAUACACUCUUAGAAAAGAAAAUGAUAUUAAUUAAUUUGGUAAUUUGAAGUUUCUUUUUAUGUAUUAAGUAAUGGGUUUUCUUUAUAAGGGAUCAUUCUGCAAUGUAAAGAGCAAGUGGACAUUUAAGCAAGUCGGAUAAAGAUGGAAUGCAUUAGGAGGGAACUGCAUUUCUUACCAACUCCCUCCACGCAUCCUCCAAAUCAUCCUUAGCACACCGACCUCCUCGAGAGAGGAAUGCAAAGAUAUCAUGUUACAC